UACAUAGGUCUCAAGCGUUGUUCGGAUUCAUUGGGCGUAAAGGGUGCGUAGGCGGCGCGGUAAGUCGGGUGUGAAAUCUCGGAGCUUAACUCCGAAACUGCAUUCGAUACUGCCGUGCUUGAGGACUGGAGAGGAGACUGGAAUUUACGGUGUAGCGGUGAAAUGCGUAGAUAUCGUAAGGAAGACCAGUGGCGAAGGCGGGUCUCUGGACAGUUCCUGACGCUGAGGCACGAAGGCGAGGGGAGCAAACGGG
rnacentral:rRNA from 1 species